UACAGAGGGGGCAAGCGUUGUUCGGAAUUACUGGGCGUAAAGGGUGCGUAGGCGGCCCGCUAAGUCGAACGUGAAAUCCCUGGGCUCAACCCAGGAACUGCGUCCGAUACUGGCAGGCUUGAAUCCGGGAGAGGGAUGUGGAAUUCCAGGUGUAGCGGUGAAAUGCGUAGAUAUCUGGAGGAACACCGGUGGCGAAGGCGGCAUCCUGGACCGGUAUUGACGCUGAUGCGCGAAAGCCAGGGGAGCAAACGGG
rnacentral:rRNA from 1 species